CAGGAAUUGUAUCUAGGUUAUAUGUAGCAGGAUGAGGAAGUGUCCCUCUGUUAUCCAGACGGCCACGAGGAACAGAACGACCCCCAGGGAGCUGAUUGUUUGCCAGGUAACCCAGGUGACACCCGAGCAUCAGAGAAAAGGGGCCGUGGUGGUGUGUGUGUGUCGGAUCAGGACUUUCUCUGCCACCUGACGCUCUCCUCCACCUCUCCUCCACCCCUCCUCCACCUCUCCUC